UUUGUACUCCCUCCGUCCAAAAUUCUUGUCUUAAAUUUUUCUAAAUACGGAUGUAUCUAGUUACAUUUUAGUGUUAGAUACAUCCGUAUCUAAACAAAUGUAAGACAAGAAUUUUGGGACGAAGGGAAUACUAC
rnacentral:pre_miRNA from 1 species